GUCGAACGGGCUCUUCUGAGCUAGUGGCGGACGGGUGAGUAACGCGUGAGAAUCUGCCUCUCUGGUCUGGGAGACCAGAAGGAGACUUCUGCUCUUCCCGGAUGAGCCCUUGGGUAAAAGAUAAAUUGCCUGGAGAUGAGCUCGCGUCUGAUUUGCUAGUUGGUGUGAUAAAAGCAUACCAAGGCGACAAUCAGUAUCUGGUCUGAGAGGAUGAGCAGCCACCCUGGGACUGAGACACGGCCCCGACUCCCACGGGAGGGAGGGGUGGGGAAUUUUCCUCUCUGGGCGAAAGCCUGACGGAACAAAACCGCGUGGGGGAGGAAAGCUCUACGGUUGUAAACCCCUUUUCCUUUGGAAGAAGUACUGACGGUACCAAAGGAAUUAGCCUCGGCUAACUCCUUGCCGCCAGCCGCGGUAAUACUGAGGACGAAAGCGUUAUCCGGAAUGAUUGGGCGUAA
rnacentral:rRNA from 1 species